AGUACACACCAUGUCAACGCCUACUAGCAGCAUAAUCUUUCUCCAGUUCCUUUGGAUCCUUUUUCUAGACAUGAAAAAAGCCUCCAACCAAUGCUCAGUACCGUUUUCUCUCCCUGUGAACCAACUGCAUGGGAAGCAACAUCAGAGGACUGCUUGGCAGCAUGGAGGCAAGAGAAAAGCUGAACCAAACUGCUAGGUGAAGUGUCUUCCCAGCACUCCUGAUGAGAACUUCAAUCAGAAGGGCAGCUGAGCAACUCUGAAGACUGCCAGAAAAGAAGAAAAACAAUGAAUACUUAUGAAAAUCCAAAUGCACAAAAUGUAAGUCAACACAUUUUCAUAUGAUAAACUAAAGCAUAUAUCAAGACAAAGAAUCUGGGUAAUAUUAACAGGCAGAAGAUGGACUGUAAGUUUAUUAAUUAAC